UUAUUUGUUUUGUUUUUUUUACUGUUAAGAAACACUCAAUUCUGAUCUGCCCUCCACAACCACAAGCAAGAGAGACUGGAUUGGUUUUUGGGGUACCCUGUGUAAGUGGACAUGGGAGACCAGGGUUUUCAGUACAAUA
rnacentral:snoRNA from 1 species